GAAGCCUGUGUUGCUGACUGUAUAUAGGAUGUGUUUUAUCAAAUAUUAAAAUGUUGACAGUGCAUUACAGUGCAAAUAGCAACAGCAGACAAACUCAAACUCCCCUGUUUCUAAUUGUCCACAUGGCUGGAGAACCUAUUCAAUUUUCUGCCCUCAGAUAAAGAUAGUUAUGAAAGCCUGUCUACAGAUGAAGAGGUCCCAAUGAAGAGCAGUGGUUCUCAGUCCUGGUUGUGGGGACUCAAAGGGGCACAUUGUUGUUUUUGCCUUAGUACUGCACAGCUGAUUCAAAUUAUCAACUCAUCAUCAAGCCUCAAGUGAUACCUUGUCACUGGAGAUUCUUUCAAAACGAUUGCCUAAAGUUACCGUGUAACACUGCAAGGUCCGGUGACCAGGGCCAUCUGGGAUUGCCUCCUGGAGGAAUUCAGAAGUGUGAAGGCUACCUGUGUCCUGCAUAACUUCUUGAGGAUGGACAUAAGGACCAGGAGGGGGUGUGCAGCUCGCUGCCGUGUGCUAGAGGAGAAGUGUGGUGCUCUGCAGGAUGUUUCAAGGAUGGGGCCCAACAACACAACAAGAGAGGCAAUCUGUGUGCGGGAGAUCUUCACCUCCUACUUUUUCAAAGAGGGUGCUGUUCCCUGGUAACAGCAUAGACUACACUAUGCACAACCGAAGGCUUUUUUAAGAGCCAUUCACAUUGCAAUAAGAGUAUCCUUCCGUUAACUUAGCUAUAUCAACUGCAGUUAUUAAAUUCUCAGUUUCUCUCCCUUUGUUUUCUACUUCUCAGGUGAGGGGGCUGUUUAGGUAAGGGUGGGAUGUCUGUACAAAAAUAAAACAGGCUAUUUUAAGUCACCCAUAUUGAAAAAAUGUAGAACAAUUAGACACCCUACAACCCACACCUACACACUCAUGUAUCAAUCUGAUUGAUGGAUUGUGUUGUGCAGUAAGCAGGC
ensembl:lncRNA